GACGAACGCUGGCGGCGUGCUUAACACAUGCAAGUCGAGCGGUAAGGCCCUUUCGGGGGUACACGAGCGGCGAACGGGUGUGUAACACGUGGGUGACCUGCCCUCAGCUCUGGGAUAAGCCUGGGAAACCGGGUCUAAUACCGGAUAUGACUCCAUGACGCAUGUUGUGGGGUGGAAAGCCUUGUGCGGCUGAGGAUGGGCCCGCGGCCUAUCAGCUUGUUGGUGGGGUGAUGGCCUACCAAGGCGACGACGGGUAGCCGGCCUGAGAGGGCGACCGGCCACACUGGGACUGAGACACGGCCCAGACUCCUACGGGAGGCAGCAGUGGGGAAUCUUGCGCAAUGGGGCGAAAGCCUGACGCAGCGACGCCGCGUGAGGGAUGACGGCCUGUGUAACU
rnacentral:rRNA from 1 species